rnacentral:rRNA from 1 species
ACAUGCCUACAACUUAGAGUUAAUGCACCAGAUCCCAUUAGAAAUCCACAGUUAAGCGUGCUCAGGAUAGAGUAGUACUGGGAUGGGUGAUUUCUCAGGAAUUCCUAGUAUUUUACAUGCC